rnacentral:rRNA from 1 species
AGUGAACGCUGGCGGUAGGCCUAACACAUGCAAGUCGAACGGCAGCACAGUAAGAGCUUGCUCUUACGAGUGGCGAGUGGCGGACGGGUGAGGAAUACAUCGGAAUCUACUUUUUCGUGGGGGAUAACGUAGGGAAACUUACGCUAAUACCUCAUACGACCUACGGGUGAAAGCAGUGUAUCUUCGGACCUUGUGCGAUUGAAUGAGCCGAUGUCGGAUUAGCUAGUUGGCGGGGUAAAGGCCCACCAAGGCGACGAUCCGUAGCUGAACUGAGAGGAUGAUCGGCCACACUGGAACUGGGACACGGUCCAGACUCCUACGGGAGGCAGCAGUGGGGAAUAUUGGACAAUGGGCGCAAGCCUGAUCCAGCCAUACCGCGUGGGUGAAGAAGGCCUUCGGGUUGUAAAGCCCUUUUGUUGGGAAAGAAAAGCAGCAGGUUAAUACCCAGCUGUUCUGACGGUACCCAAAGAAUAAGCACCGGCUAACUUCGUG